CCUCUCCCUCUCCCUUCCUCUCUGAAAUCAAUAAAAAUAUUAAAAAAAAAUAAUAAACAGCAGGCUAAAACAAAAGGUAGAAUUGCACAUAUAAUUGUAUUUGUGUGUUUUGUUUUCUGUAUUAUUUAGGGGCUGGUUAGCCAAUGUGUGAAUUAACUACACUUACACCUGUAUGUAUGCAUGCAUGUAUGUAGGUAGGUAUGUAUGUAGGAAUAUGUAUCAAAUGUUAGCACUGUUACUUGUUAGUAGUGGAAAUAUAGAAAUUUUUUUGGUGUGUGAACAACCUCUACUCUAACUUUCCUAUAAGGAAUAUUGACUAAUCAUGUGAUAGGAAGUAAAAAGUGCUUUGUGAGUUGUGAACUGUAACACUAGCUGUGCACCUGCAGGCCGCCGGGCGGGCCAGUUCCUGUCUCUUGGGAGGCCACUCUCCCCCUGGCCUCCAGAGACCUCUGUGCUCAGAUGCAGCCAAAAGGAAUUCUUGUUUUCAUUGGCUAACACCGGGCAGAGGUCUACGUAUCGACUGCUCACCUGGCUCAGGCCUGGUCUACCAAAUGGUGUGUGCUCUGUGCCGCGGAGUCUGCUGACUCCCGGCGACCCCAGGGUGAGUGAUGCCCUGAGUGUCCUGUGUCAGCGCCCUGCUCAGCACCUGCAGGCUCAGCCCACGGCUCCUUAUGGAGCCAAUCCUUCCCUUACUGGGCCUCCUCUUCCUGCUGCCUUCUGCUUCCCGGCAUUACUGCUUUUCCAAGGAAGCCCGCCUCUCACGAUGUGUCGGUUUAGUUGUUCUGCCUGCAGUGAUGUUUCAGGCUUCACUUGCUCCUCAAUGGACCUGCUCCUAAUAUUCGCCCCGACAACCGCAGGCACCCCCUCCACUGCUCCUGUUCCUUUGCUGGCUGAGGUCUGCAUGUCAGCAGACUGGCCUCCCACCAGCUCUCAGGUGCCAGGACAGAGACGUGGCUGGAAGCACCAGGACCCUGGGCCUGAGGCCUGAGCUGGUCAGAGACGGGCAGAGCCUCCAGCUUCCCGAGGCUCAGGGCAGGGAGGUGUGUUCUGAGAUGGCAGAGAGGUGCAGAGGAGAUUGGAAAGCAGAACAGGAACAGAACAAUUUCACUUUUACAAAGUGCUGUUAUCAAGAGGCAGGGCUCAGGCAUGGCACUUGUGCAUCGCUGUGAGAAGGUCAAAGCGCAGAAACAUACAGAAAGGAUAAGAGAAUUGAACACUUUAAAGAACUUGGUGAGAGGACAGAUGGCACAGACAUUCGGUGGGAGUGACAGCUGGAAACGAGACUGUGACAGCAUUGGGGACCUCAGCGAAGGAGACAGACCAGGUUUCUUAUCCUUUCUUUUGGUAUGUGCGGUGGGCGCUCCCCGGCAUCGGUUGGCAGCAGGCAGACUUUAGUGCCAGUUUCACCCUGCAAACACGCCUGCUGCCUCGGAAUCAGAGCACCGUUAGGGCGAGGUCGCCACGGCCCCGGGCAGGCAGGGGCUGCCCUUACCACAGAGCACUCAUCUGACACUUUGCUCAAAAAAGCAAAUCGUGUCGACUGCCAGAGAAGCGGAGCAGACCAGUGCCACCUGCAGACAGCUCUUGUCGCUCACGUGAGCAAGGAGACAUACGAUGCUGUGGCAGCAGGUGCAUGCUGAGCACUCUGGCCUAACUCACACCCGCAGCAAGCAGGUGCUGGGAUGCCACGGGCCAAAAGCUUUCCCUGGCGCCCCCUGACCCGAGCUGCGUCUCCCUGUGUCGGUGCAGUCCUGCUCUAGGUUGCUAGCUCGUUACAUUCCCUUGGCUGAAAGGAGAGCGCUGUCUCCAUUUGAGAGCGCCAGUAGUUUGACUUCGUAGACGCUAGUGAAUUUUCCAAAGUCAAACCAGAGCAUGACGCUGGAGCGAGAGGCCUGUGCCGGGGAGCGGGGGCGGCAGCGGGCGCGGCAGGCACGC